CGGGGAUCGGGUCGAGGGGAGAAGAAAAAGGGGUGCUCGGGAGCAGCCCCCGGCUACCUCCCCUGGAGGCACAGAGGGCGGGGGCCUUGGCGAAUGGCUUUCUUGCUGGCCACUUGCGGAGGUUUGGAUUCAGGAUUUGUUCCUAGUGUCCAAGAUUUUGAUAAGAAACUUACAGAAGCUGAUGCUUACCUACAAAUCUUGAUUGAACAAUUAAAGCUUUUUGAUGACAAGCUUCAAAACUGCAAAGAAGAUGAACAGAGAAAGAAAAUUGAAACUCUCAAAGAGACAACAAAUAGAUGGGAUUCUGCUAUGUUGCCUAGGCUGGUCUCCUAGCCUCAAGCGAUCCUCCUUCCUUGGCCUACCAAAGCAGUGGGAUUACAGAGCAUGGUAGAAUCAAUUAAACACUGCAUUGUGUUGCUGCAGAUUGCCAAAAGUACUAUUAAUCCCGUAGAUGCAAUAUAUCAACCUAGUCCUUUGGAACCUGUGAUCAGCACAAUGCCUUCCCAGACUGUGUUACCUCCAGAACCUGUUCAGUUGUGUAAGUCAGAGCAGCGUCCAUCUUCCCUACCAGUUGGACCUGUGUUGGCUACCUUGGGACAUCAUCAGACUCCUACACCAAAUAGUACAGGCAGUGGCCAUUCACCACCGAGUAGCAGUCUCACU
rnacentral:lncRNA from 1 species